AGCUGCUGGGUCAACACUUCCGAAAACAGCGCUUCCUGGGGAGCCACCGGAGCAUCUCAGAAUCUACGGUUUGACCUCCUGCCAAUUCUCAUGAACGUGCUUCAGAGUUGCACUUAGCCUGGAACAUGGCCUGACCUCUAUGGUAUGAAUAAGUGAGCUCCUUGAAGACAAUAAGAUCUCCUGAAAUUAUACAGUGAUGACCCAUGUGACAUCUUACACAAAUGGACAGUCAAUGGAGGGAAGUGGCCAGCAAAAAUGAAAGUGAAGCAAAGAAAUGAAAAAUGAGAACGCAGGGAGUGAGAUUCAAAUCCAACAUAAAUGGAGGUGAGAAGAUAUAGCUGAAAUUGGGAUGUCAACACUCAGGCAUCCUAGACUCUAC